GGUGUUUGCGGCUGUUGACUCUCAAUGAAGUUAAAUAUGGUUCUGUUGUGCAUGUGAGAUUGGUAUGCCAUCCAUGUAGUUGUUGGGCCAGGGACUGAAGGGCCAGACACCCAACCACUGUAUUGGGUUGGGAUACUUUCUGAAUAUGGUUACAAAAUGGUGGACAGACCAUGAUCAGAUGGUGCAGGUGGCAUGGGAACUGGAUCAGAAGUAUCAAGGCAAUAAGGGUGGAAUGCAACAGGUGGGGGCAAAACAUCACGAGGCGUGGGGGCAAAACAUCACGAGGCGUGGGGGCAAAACAUCACGAGGCGGCAAUUGUGGAUGAACUGGCUAUUGUCGACAUCGAGCAAAACGUGAUCGACGUCGUCCAUGUGAGGGCUCAGGCUGCUCAACUGGUUGCUCCUCUUCUAAUUCAUUUAUGAAAGUUGCUACUUGAGGUGCAAGCUGAGGAGGAGACAUCUAAUAAAGGCAACUUUUCUGCCCUAGAGCAUUCAUCAUAUUCCUCAGUGUACGCCUAACUUCCUCCACAUUUUUAGUUGAUGAGUUCUAUAAUUUUAGCAAACAAUCCUCAAU
rnacentral:misc_RNA from 1 species